rnacentral:rRNA from 1 species
GACGAACGCUGGCGGCGUGCUUAACACAUGCAAGUCGAACGGAAAGGCCCCGCUUUUGUGGGGUGCUCGAGUGGCGAACGGGUGAGUAACACGUGAGUAACCUGCCCUUGACUUUGGGAUAACUUCAGGAAACUGGGGCUAAUACCGGAUAGGAGCUCCUGCUGCAUGGUGGGGGUUGGAAAGUUUCGGCGGUUGGGGCUGGACUCGCGGCUUAUCAGCUUGUUGGUGGGGUAGUGGCUUACCAAGGCUUUGACGGGUAGCCGGCCUGAGAGGGUGACCGGCCACAUUGGGACUGAGAUACGGCCCAGAAUCCUACGGGAGGCAGCAGUGGGGAAUAUUGCACAGUGGGCGGAAGCCUGAUGCAGCAACGCCGCGUGCGGGAUGACGGCCUUCGGGUUGUAAACCGAUUUCGCCUGUGACGAAGCGUGAGUGACGGUAAUGGGUAGAGAAGCACCGGCUAACUACGAG